rnacentral:rRNA from 1 species
UACGUAGGGUGCAAGCGUUAAUCGGAAUUACUGGGCGUAAAGGGCGCGUAGGCGGCCACCGCAAGUCGACUGUGAAAUCUCCGGGCUUAACCCGGAAAGGUCAGCCGAUACUGCGGGGCUAGAGUGCAGAAGGGGCAACUGGGAAUUCUCGGUGUAGCGGUGAAAUGCGUAGAUAUCGAGAGGAACACCUGCGGCGAAGGCGGGUUGCUGGGCUGACACUGACGCUGAAGCGCGAAAGCUAGGGGAGCGAACGGG